AUUGAACGCUGGCGGCAGGCUUAACACAUGCAAGUCGAACGAGUGGCGGACGGGUGAGUAAUGUCUGGGCAACUGCCCGAUGGAGGGGGAUCACUACUGGAAACGGUAGCUAAUACCGCAUACCAUCGGAUGUGCCCAGAUGGGAUUAGGUAGUUGGUGGGGUAAAGGAUCACCAAGGCGACGAUCGCUAGCUGGUCUGAGAGGAUGACCAGCAACACUGGGACUGAGACACGGCCCAGACUCCUACGGGAGGCAGCAGUGGGGAAUAUUGCGCAAUGGGCGCAACCCUGACGCAGCCAUGCCGCGUGUAUGAAGAAGGCCUUCGGGUUGUAAAGUACUUUCGGCAGGGAGGCGUUACCUGCAGAAGAAGCACCGGCUAACUCCGUGCCAGCCGCCGCGGUAAUUC
rnacentral:rRNA from 1 species